rnacentral:rRNA from 1 species
GCAAGUCGAGCGGGGUGAUGGUGCUUGCACUAUCACCUAGCGGCGGACGGGUGAGUAAUGCUUAGGAAUCUGCCUAUUAGUGGGGGACAACAUUUCGAAAGGAAUGCUAAUACCGCAUACGUCCUACGGGAGAAAGCAGGGGAUCUUCGGACCUUGCGCUAAUAGAUGAGCCUAAGUCGGAUUAGCUAGUUGGUGGGGUAAAGGCCUACCAAGGCGACGAUCUGUAGCGGGUCUGAGAGGAUGAUCCGCCACACUGGGACUGAGACACGGCCCAGACUCCUACGGGAGGCAGCAGUGGGGAAUAUUGGACAAUGGGCGCAAGCCUGAUCCAGCCAUGCCGCGUGUGUGAAGAAGGCCUUAUGGUUGUAAAGCACUUUAAGCGAGGAGGAGGCUACUUUAGAUAAUACCUAGAGAUAGUGGACGUUACUCGCAGAAUAAGCACCGGCUAACUCUGUGCCAGCAGCCGCGGUAAUACAGAGGGUGCAAGCGUUAAUCGGAUUUACUGGGCGUAAAGCGCGCGUAGGCGGCUAAUUAAGUCAAAUGUGAAAUCCCCGAGCUUAACUUGGGAAUUGCAUUCGAUACUGGUUAGCUAGAGUGUGGGAGAGGAUGGUAGAAUUCCAGGUGUAGCGGUGAAAUGCGUAGAGAUCUGGAGGAAUACCGAUGGCGAAGGCAGCCAUCUGGCCUAACACUGACGCUGAGGUGCGAAAGCAUGGGGAGCAAACAGGAUUAGAUACCCUGGUAGUCCAUGCCGUAAACGAUGUCUACUAGCCGUUGGGGCCUUUGAGGCUUUAGUGGCGCAGCUAACGCGAUAAGUAGACCGCCUGGGGAGUACGGUCGCAAGACUAAAACUCAAAUGAAUUGACGGGGGCCCGCACAAGCGGUGGAGCAUGUGGUUU